rnacentral:tRNA from 1 species
AGGGGAGUAGCUCAGCGGUUAGAGCACCCGACUCAUAAUCGGUAGGUCGAGAGUUCGAUCCUCUCCUCCCCUA